rnacentral:lncRNA from 10 species
GCCUCCGCGCACGGCUGACUCACGGUAUUUUUUGAUAGGGGAAUGAGUUCUCUCAUUAGGCACCUCCUAUAAUGUACAUAACACCAUGAUUUAAACGUGUAGGUUAAAAAUAAAAACACUGUAUAUGCUUCGCUUUGUGAGUUAAAUCACUCACAUUCUCCACCAAGUGCUCCGGCCGGGGAAUUAUGAGGGAUGCAGAGCAGCUGAGGCUCCGUUUGGCACCGCCGCUCCGAGGGCGUCCUGCGCCCUCCAAGGCCCGGUCCCAGGGGCUGCGGGGAAGCCGGGCCCGGGGACCCCCUCCCACCCUGGGCCGAGCUCCCCGCUCCCUGUGCGGCCUGUCCCAGGCUUCCAGGUCUCUGCUUCCGCGCGCCAGGCGGCGCUCCACCUCCGCGGCAUCGCCCGUGACAGCGCCCUGUGGAUCCUCCGCAGUUCCGCGUCCCAGAUUCGGUGCCCCGAACCCGUGCAGACGUGGUCUGUGGGGCCCAGGCCCGCUGGCCCCUGCGGCUCCCGAAGCCGAAGAACUUCUUCAAGGAGAUACCCAGCUACAGCAGAAAACAAAGGGGAUGCCAAGGUGA